UACAGAGGUCUCAAGCGUUGUUCGGAUUCAUUGGGCGUAAAGGGUGCGUAGGCGGCGCGGUAAGUCGGGUGUGAAAUCUCGGGGCUUAACUCCGAAACUGCAUUCGAUACUGCCGUGCUUGAGGACUGGAGAGGAGACUGGAAUUUACGGUGUAGCGGUGAAAUGCGUAGAUAUCGUAAGGAAGACCAGUGGCGAAGGCGGGUCUCUGGACAGUUCCUGACGCUGAGGCACGAAGGACAGGGGAGCAAACGGG
rnacentral:rRNA from 1 species